CCAAGGGAAGCCACGAGGGACUGUGCC
rnacentral:piRNA from 1 species